GUUAGAUAAGAUAUGUUGUCAGUUGAUAUGUGCAAAUAACUAGAUUAAUAUCUUUCAUUGUUUAGAUAUUUUGUUCCAAGAGAAUUUGGAUCAGUGAGCAGUCCUCAAUGUUGAACCGGAUUACAUGACAGGAAAAGAAAGAUUAUACCAAACAGAAUCAUCUACAGUCGCUGUCUUGAAUAAUUUAAAUAAGGUUAGUUUAUAAAACACCUUCCAGGCAAUGUGGCAUGAAAAUUUUAAAUUCUGAAUAAUAUGUUAUCCCUUGGGGAAUUCAUCCAAUCUAAGCCAAUAAAUGCAAAGCCCUAUGUCAGUGAGCAUUUUUUUAUCAGUUGAAAGUAAUUGUUUUGAUGAGAGAAAUAAAUGCUUAUCGACAAUUUUCAGAAAGUUUGGAAUAAUAGUUCCGGGCCUUUUUUAUUUAAAAAAUUCCUGUGCUCUCCCUUUGUUGAGCACAAAUUGCCACUUGCCUGUGGUUGCCCGUUUUGCAAAAUGUUUUAAAACAUGUUUUUUAACUCUUUCCUGUCACGACCCUUUAAACGCAAUACACUGCUGUAAUACGACUUUGCAGAUUCAUAUCUUUGGUUCGGUGCAUGCUAUGUAGAUGAAAAUGCCACCAUUCGAUUCAGCAAGUCGAAAUCUCCUAGUUCCUAACGAUAGAUUUAGUCGAUGUCAACAUUAUCACAAUUUAUGACCUUUGGAAGUCAAGCGAGAUUGUAUAUUAUCAAAUUACGCAAUUGUCUGAACAACAAUGUAGACUGGCCGUACCUUUCGCCGAACAUAACUUCGGCCGCUUCGGCCGUAUCUUCUUUGUAAUAGUCUUGUUCGAAUCGCUGUCAAAAACACUAUUUAGAGUGUUAUUUUCGAGAUUGUAUCAUCAAAUUUGAAUCUUUUAUUACCAUAUUUCCAU